rnacentral:rRNA from 1 species
AAUGAACGCUGGCGGCAGGCCUAACACAUGCAAGUCGAACGGAUCCUUCGGGAUUAGUGGCGGACGGGUGAGUAACGCGUGGGAACAUACCCUUUGGUACGGAAUAGCCUCGGGAAACUGGGAGUAAUACCGUAUGUGGUCGAGAGACGAAAGAUUUAUCGCCAAAGGAUUGGCCCGCGUUGGAUUAGGUAGUUGGUGGGGUAAUGGCCUACCAAGCCGACGAUCCAUAGCUGGUUUGAGAGGAUGAUCAGCCACACUGGGACUGAGACACGGCCCAGACUCCUACGGGAGGCAGCAGUGGGGAAUUUUAGACAAUGGGGGAAACCCUGAUCUAGCCAUGCCGCGUGAUCGAUGAAGGCCUUAGGGUUGUAGAGAUCUUUCAGGUGGGAAGAUAAUGACUGUACCACCAGAAGAAGCCCCGGCUAACUCCGUGCCAGCCGCCGCCGUAAAAC